AUUGAACGCUGGCGGCAGGCCUAACACAUGCAAGUCGAGCGGAUGAAGGGAGCUUGCUCCUGGAUUCAGCGGCGGACGGGUGAGUAAUGCCUAGGAAUCUGCCUGGUAGUGGGGGAUAACGUCCGGAAACGGGCGCUAAUACCGCAUACGUCCUGAGGGAGAAAGUGGGGGAUCUUCGGACCUCACGCUAUCAGAUGAGCCUAGGUCGGAUUAGCUAGUUGGUGGGGUAAAGGCCUACCAAGGCGACGAUCCGUAACUGGUCUGAGAGGAUGAUCAGUCACACUGGAACUGAGACACGGACCAGACUCCUACGGGAGGCAGCAGUGGGGAAUAUUGGACAAAGGGCGAAAGCCUGAUCCAGCCAUGCCGCGUGUGUGAAGAAGGUCUUCGGAUUGUAAAGCACUUUAAGUUGGGAGGAAGGGCAGUAAGUUAAUACCUUGCUGUUUUGACGUUACCAACAGAAUAAGCACCGGCUAACUUCGUG
rnacentral:rRNA from 1 species